AACGAACGCUGGCGGCAGGCUUAACACAUGCAAGUCGAACGCACCUUUCGGGGUGAGUGGCAGACGGGUGAGUAACGCGUGGGAAUCUACCCUUCUCUACGGGAUAGCUCCGGGAAACUGGAAUUAAUACCGUAUACGUCCUGAGGGAGAAAGAUUUAUCGGGGAAGGAUGAGCCCGCGUUGGAUUAGCUAGUUGGUGGGGUAAAGGCCUACCAAGGCGACGAUCCAUAGCUGGUCUAAGAGGAUGAUCAGCCACAUUGGAACUGAGACACGCCCCAACUCCUACGGGAAGCAGCAGUGGGGAAUAUUGGACAAUGGGCGCAAGCCUGAUCCAGCCAUGCCGCGUGAGUGAUGAAGGCCCUAGGGUUGUAAAGCUCUUUCAGUGGGGACGAUAAUGACGGUACCCACAGAAGAAGCCCCGGCUAACUUCGUG
rnacentral:rRNA from 1 species